rnacentral:rRNA from 1 species
GAUGAACGCUAGCUACAGGCUUAACACAUGCCAGUCGCGGGGCAGCAUGGGGGUUGCUUGCAAUCCCCGAUGGCGACCGGCGCACGGGUGAGUAACGCGUAUCCAACCUGCCCUUCACCACGGGAUAACCCGGCGAAAGUCGGACUAAUACCGUAUGUUGUCCAUUGACGGCAUCCGAUUUGGACGAAAGGCUUGGCGGUGAGGGAUGGGGAUGCGUCCGAUUAGCCAGACGGCGGGGUAACGGCCCACCGUGGCUACGAUCGGUAGGGGUUCUGAGAGGAAGGUCCCCCACACUGGAACUGAGACACGGUCCAGGCUCCUACGGGAGGCAGCAGUGAGGAAUAUUGGUCAAUGGGCGUAAGCCUGAACCAGCCAAGUAGCGUGCAGGAUGACGGCCCUAUGGGUUGUAAACUGCUUUUAUGCGGGGAUAAAGUGGCCCACGUGUGGGCUUUUGCAGGUACCGCAUGAAUAAGGACCGGCUAAUUCCGU